rnacentral:misc_RNA from 1 species
GAUGAAGAACGUAGCGAAAUGCGAUAAGUAAUGUGAAUUGCAGAAUUCAGUGAAUCAUCGAAUCUUUGAACGCACAUUGUGCCCGCCAGUAUUCUGGCGGGCAUGCCUGUUCGAGCGUCAUUUCAACCAUCAAGCCCCCGGCUUGUGUUGGGGACCUGCGGCUGCCGCAGGCCCUGAAAACCAGUGGCGGGCUCGCUAGUCACUCCGAGCGUAGUAAUACAUCUCGCUCAGGGCGUGCUGCGGGUUCCGGCCGUUAAAAAGCCUUAUUUACCCAAGGUUGACCUCGGAUCAGGUAGGAAGACCCGCUGAACUUAAGCAUAUCAAUAAGCGGAGGA